ACACGCGCCGCAAGCCACUCAGCGCCACCAUUAACACGCUGGCCAAUGCGCUGUACAAGGUCUUCUGCUACACGGGUGAGGCGGCGUACCGUAUUCCUGAAGGGGGGGUUGUGGGAGAGGGUUCGUGAUGGGGCGACCCAGCUGUGCCCAACAUCAAGUACGUACUCGUCCACCGCCUCCGCCCACGCAGGCGAUGCGGCGCAGGAGGAGAUGCGGCAGGCGUGUUUCGACUACCUUGCGCUGGGCGGCAUCUGCGCCGCCGGGCCCAUCAGCCUGUUGUCGGGCCUCAACCCGCGGCCGUCUGUGCUGGUGCAGGUGAGGGGGCACGUGGCAGGAUUGUGGGCGAAAGCGCGGGGUGCAUCCUUUUUGCGCAACCGUGACAUACCGGCUUGCGUGGGGCACUGACGUGCCACGGCAUUGUUGCGUUACCUCUUCGUUCUGCUUUUUCCGUGUACUCCAUAACACCUGUCCCUUCCUGUAAUGUCGCAUUCAUACCUAACAGCACUUCUUCAUGGUGGCACUUUUCGGCGUGGGCCGCCUGCUGCUGCCGCGCCCGUCCCUGCGCGGCCUGUACAUGGCGCUGGCCCUGCUGGCGGUGGCCUGCCGCAUCAUCUUCCCCAUCAUCUGGGCCGAGGGCGUGCGCGCCGUGUUCUUCCCCGCGCUGGCACCCAAGCCUGUGGUGUCCGCAACGGCUGGCAAUGGCGGCCGGCGUUCUAGCAGCGUGGGCGUGCUGGCCUCGUCCUAGAGUGUGCUGGACAAGGGAUGUGGGCUUUGAGUAUGUUGCCCCAGGCAGCCCGUCCUCCCGCCUUGCCGCAAGUUGAGGGGCUGCCCUUGUUGAUACGGUACCAAAAUUUGCUCUGUAUGGGCGAUGUUACGAGGUGGCGUUGUCGUCGAGCGUGUUGCAGCAGGCGGAGGUUGUGCGAUGGGACAGUGGUAAGGCAGGUUGGUAAAGUCCCGUAGAGUGCAGCUAAUUCCCAGAACCCAACAGAUGGCAAACAAUUGGCAGAGGCAGGGCAAGAGUGCGCGGCUAGUCGAACGCCGGAGUUACUGUACCGACGAGUUGCUGGCUGGCUGGAAGUUUGCUGACGCGCAUUCCUCACGCUCCGGGCGCCCGGCCAGGCGAUAGCACCACACAGACACACCGCAACGCCACACUCGCGAGGCAGAGCCGCAUCGCACCUGCAGGAAGGUGACCAGCGUCCACGGAUAAGCACCAGAGGCAACCGCAGAGA
rnacentral:lncRNA from 1 species